rnacentral:lncRNA from 1 species
AUUCAUGAAAAGGCCCCCUGAGGUAAAUAUGAUAGAAUAGUUUUAAAGACAGGAAGAAGGAGGCCAAGUUAAGUGGCUUGCCCAAGCUUGUAAGUGGCAGAGCCAAAAGUGGCAUCUGGGCCUGUUUCUCUGUGCUCCUAACCACGAGGUCUGCUGCUUCUCAGCAAAGAAGAUCAAGACUUAGAGUUCUGUGAGACCAAAAAGAGUUCUCGCUCUGCUGCUGCUGUUUCCCACUUGGCUGACUGUGACUCCCAGAGAAUUGUGGAAAUGUGGGUUACCCCCAACCAAAGUGUCGUGGAGAAGAUGGGAGGAAAAUGUUGUGCCCGGAAAAGGGAAAUAUGAAGAACGUUCUGCCCUCUGGGCUUUCUUGAUGCCUACUGGGAUAAAUCUGCAACCUGAACAUCCAGCUUGCAAAUUCAGACUUUGUAUCCACUGUUUCCUGGCCCACAGCAAGGAUGGGGGUAGGAAUCAUGCCAGGGAACAUGUAGGAGAGAAGAUGACAUGAGUAAAGCUCUCUCCUGGAGGCUGGCUGGUGCUUCAGCUGCAUCCCAGGCUCUCUGUAGCAUAAGGUCAUCAUCAUCCCACCCCCCCCCCUCCACCCCCAGCCAAGUGGGUCCCAAUCAAGACUCUCCUUGAGGGUUUCUCAUAAUGUUUGUGUUAUUUGGCUGAGCACACUUGAGAUCCAUCCACUUCCCCAUCUCUUCUGUAAUGUCUACAACCCUGGGAUCCAUAUGGGAGCCCGCAGUCCAUGAAUAGUCAUUUCAUGUCCAUUCUGGCUUAUCUGUGAGUCUCAGUUCUCUGUUUUUAUAGCCACUGCUUGUCUUAAUUUUAUUCUUUUCAAAAUAAUGCAAGAAGGAAAAUACCAGGAAGUUUGGGAUCAUUUUAUUAGCAACAAAUGUCUGUCAAUACUAAUUUAUCCCAUGUGUGAUAUAUGAGUGAGAUAAGUGCCAAACUAUUAAAUUCAACUUAAAUAACAGGAACAGUGAAGAAUGAACUGAAAUUCUUGGCUAAUAGACUAGCCACAUUUUCCAGCAGAACUGACCUGCUGAAGUUCAGAGUUCUGGAGUAAAAAUCUUUAACAGAGGUUGAGACAAGUAGUGCAUCUGGGAGGACAAAUUUCUCAGGACGAAUUCCCCAGGAGUUUAGCAGAGUGGUUUCCCCAUAGGUUGCCAGAUUUCUCAAAUAAAAAUAUAGAACACCCAAUUAAAUUUGAAAAA